GGCAGCCACCAGCCCACAGCUGGUCUAAACACUCCUUCUUUCACGCUUUUUUGUGAAACGAAACCUUCAAAAAGAGACAUGUUCCUCAUUCUGUCCCUCCACAGACUCAGCGGAAAACGGCCCGGCACUCCGUGGUCAGUUAACGCUGAAAGGUUGGUACCCUAUCAUUACUCUGUACUGCAGCCUGACUGACUUCACUGAUAACAGACAGGUGGGACGUUUGUGCUGUAGAUGAAUGUUUAUGAGGACACACUGCCGAGGAGCAGGAUGGAGAUGUCUGAGUGCGUGAAGACGGAGGACGUGUACCAGACUCUCCACCAGCCUCCUGCAGUGAAGAACCCAAACCCAACACACGAGCCAGUGAGGAGCUUCAGGAUAAAGACUGUGCUGAUGGUCUUCAACUGCUAUUGAUCGUCAUCCUGAUAUUGAUCGUAAUCUUCUCUGCAAAAAAACAACAAAGUGCUGAUUUGAACAAACCACAAGCCUCUGGUGAGCAGCGCACCCACAGCCAGACACAAUCACACCUGCUUUCAGCUUUCCACCCCUCCGUCCUCUGUGCAAAAGUGUGAAAUGAAGUGUUGUUGUCUCAAACGCAGUGAGUAAGAUUUUAUCAUUAGACACUGUAAAGCUGUAAAACUGUAAUUCGCCACGUUAGAGAAACACAUUCUCCCAAAUAUGGAAUCAAACCAUGUUCGUCUAUGUUUGUUAAAAGUAGCUUUAAUGCUUUUGAUGCUGAAAAGCUGCAGAAAACCAAUAAAAUGCAGAAGUGGGCUGAAGAGAAGACGCUGGUAGGAACUGUUUCAAUACAAAAGCAGGACAGAACGUCGGCUUUUCACUGAUAUCGAC
ensembl:lncRNA